rnacentral:tRNA from 1 species
GUCUAAAGAGUGGCUGAAGGAGCACGCCUGGAAAGUGUGUAUACGGCAACGUAUCGGGGGUUCGAAUCCCCCCCUCACCGCCA